AGAGAUGGCUCUUGCUGUGUUGCCCAGUGUGGUCUUGAACUGGACUCAAGCAGUUCUCCCAUCUCAGCCUCCCAAAGUGCAGGGAUUAUAGGUGUGAGCCACCCCACCUGGCCAACAGUAACUCUUUUAAAAAGAUACAAAUGCCUGAAAGGAGACAGAAGAGAAGACACAGACACAGAGAAAGCCAUGGCCAUGUGAGGAUGGAUACCAAGAUUGGAGUUAUGCAGCUACAAGCCAAGGAACUCCUGGAGUCACCAAAAGCUGGAAGAAGCAAGAAAAAUUCUCCUCUAGGGCCCUUGGAGGGAGGGUAGCCCUGCAGACAUCUUGAGUUCAGC
rnacentral:lncRNA from 1 species